rnacentral:lncRNA from 1 species
UUGCCUUGGCUUCAAGCGACUGUAUUCCUGGAACGAAAAAGUCGCAACGCGUUCCACUUUUUUGACCAUAUGCUAGUGCUUUCUUCUGCACCUCUAGCGUUCUCUUCGCGCUUGCUCGUGCGUCUUCUUUCGCGCUUUCGAUUGCAGCUCGCACUCGAGGAAGCUCUUCGACGUAUGCUAGUGCUUUCUUCUGUAUCUCCAGAAUCGUCUUUGUGCUUACUCUUGCAUCUUCUUUCACGCUUUCGAUUGCAGCUCGAACUCGAGGAAGCUCUUCGGCGUUUUGCUUUUUUAUGUCAGCC